AGUGAACGCUGGCGGUAGGCCUAACACAUGCAAGUCGAACGGCAGCACAGUAAGAGCUUGCUCUUACGGGUGGCGGGUGGCGGACGGGUGAGGAAUACAUCGGAAUCUACUUUUUCGUGGGGGAUAACGUAGGGAAACUUACGCUAAUACCGCAUACGACCUACGGGUGAAAGCAGGGGAUCUUCGGACCUUGCGCGAUUGAAUGAGCCGAUGUCGGAUUAGCUAGUUGGCGGGGUAAAGGCCCACCAAAGCGACGAUCCGUAGCUGGUCUGAGAGGAUGAUCAGCCACACUGGAACUGAGACACGGUCCAGACUCCUACGGGAGGCAGCAGUGGGGAAUAUUGGACAAUGGGCGCAAGCCUGAUCCAGCCAUACCGCGUGGGUGAAGAAGGCCUUCGGGUUGUAAAGCCCUUUUGUUGGGAAAGAAAAGCAGCAGGUUAAUACCCCGCUGUUCUGACGGUACCCAAAGAAUAAGCACCGGCUAACUUCGUG
rnacentral:rRNA from 1 species